AUCCUAAUUUUUUCUUAUGUUUUGUUUGUUGUUCUUUUUAACCCUGCUCAUUCUUGUUGGUAUUCUCUUAUAUUUGUUGUUAAUUUCUAUGAUUAAUUCUCUCUUUUUUUGAUCAAAUAUCUUGCAUCUUUCAAUCGAGGCUUUAAUCUCAAAAGCUUUGGGGUCUCUUUCAAAACUAAAGCACGGAUAAAUGAUUUCCUAUUUGUUGCACUUUUGGAGUUGAAAAAAUGGAAAAGCAGUGACGAAGAACUGGUCUCAUCGACUUCCGGUUGUACCCACACCGCAUGACUUGGUUGAUGGUUCAUGAAAGGGGAUUGGGUAGUGUGAAUUUUGAUGAUGGAAGUGAUGGUGAACUUUGAUGAGUGCGGUGUGUAUGAUAUGCCUUUUUGUUUGCUAUUUGAUAAGGUUCUUCUGCUAGAAGAGAUUUCCUACGGGACGGAGAUGAUAGUAUUUGACGGUUGGUCCAUGGAUUUUUCUUCCUUUUCUUUUUCCCAGUUGGCUUAUGAGAAACUGUGGCUCGGGUGAAUUUGAACUUGCAUAGGUUCGGGUACACCUCAGACUAGUUGAUUUUCAGGCGUCUUCAGAUUACCCAAGAUGUAUCAACAGACGGAAUAUGGUGCUACAUAGUGUUUUGGGUAGUGGGAAGACCAGACACAAGGUGAAAUCUGUUAAAGAAUAGAAUAAUGGCAGCGUGUCCGUCUUGUUCUUCUGCCUCAGGCAUAUCAUAUUAUCAUAUUAACAUGUAAAGAUCCAAUAAAAUUACAACAAAUAGUAAAUAUGAACUCAUAACUUUAUAGAUGGUUCUUGCUUACUAGCAAAGAGAAAUUUUAGGAAGACAUUAAAUAGUCUUCAAAAAUUGCCAUCAAACUGUAUUUAGUAUCAGCAUAUAGGUUGUGUAUAAAUCAUAUUUACAAUUCAAAUGCAACCAGAUAGUGUAGCCUUAUUCUGUCUUACAAAGAACCUAUAAUUGUAUUCCUUUUUCUCUUUCUUGCAAUGAAGAAAAGACUGCCAACACCACUUAAGUUA